rnacentral:lncRNA from 1 species
UUUUUUUUUUGUCUUUUUGCCUUUUCUGGGGUUGCUCCUGCAGCAUAUGGAGGUUCCCAGGCUAGGGGUCCAAUCGGAGCUGCAGCUGCCAGCCUACACCACAGCCAUAGCAAUGUGGGAUCUGAGCCACGUUUUGCCACCUACACCACAGCUCACGGCAACGCCAGAUCCUUAACCCACUGUGCAAGGCCAGGGAUCGAACCUGCGACCUCAUGGUUCCUAGUUGGAUUCAUUAACCACUGAGCCACGACGGGAACUCCUUAAUACAUUUUUUAAGUGUGAAGGAGUAUCUGUUUCUCAAAAUUGAUUAGGGGAUAUGAGAGCAAAAAGCCUGAAAUCUACUGCUUCAAGUCAAAGCACAGAAAUUAAAUAACAAAAACUUAAAAAGCAAGUAUUAGACAACAUGCUAAUAACUAAAAAAUACUGAUAGUUUUGUCAAACAGAGACUCUCAAGCAUACAAUAACAUUCGUUUGAAACUAUGUGAACCCCAAAAGAUAAACUGAUUUACAUCUAGAUUUAGUGACUAAUAUUGAUACAUAAAGAUUCAAGACAAGCAGCUUAACACAGAGUUCCAUACCACCCUGGGGGCCUAUGUUUGACUCUAUACUCACAGCCCCGCAGCAUCAGGAGGAAGGUGCUUGUCAUGGAUGCUUCAUCCAUCAUGCAGCACCAAUGGAAGCACAUUUGUCUUCCAGAAUACUGUGCCUUAGGAACGCUUUAGAAUCUGAACUUUUUAAGACAGACCUAAUGAUGGGCCAAUUUUAUAGAUAUCACUUUCAUUAGUUGCACUGAAAAGGUUUUUGUAAAUUUUUUGCUCAAAAUUUUUUAAACAUAGUUAACUCUGGACUAGGGGUACAUUCUUACAGAAUAAACAGUUUUCAAAACUUUUUUUUUUUAAAAGACAAGCAGCUUAAUCUUAUAGGUUUUUAUUAAAUAAGAAGGUUUUUUCAGGAGUUCCCGUUGUGGCUCAGCAGUUAACGAACCUGACUAGCAUCCAUGAGAAUGCAGGUUCGAUCCCUGGCCUCGAUCAGUGGGUUAAGGUUCUGACAUUGAGUGAGCUGUGGUGUAGGUCGCAGAUGCGGCUCGGAUCUGGCGUUGCUGUGGCUAUGGCUAUGGCCAUCAGCUACAGCUCUGAUUCAACCCCUAGCCUGGGAACCUCCAUAUGCCGCAGGUGUGGCCUUAAAGAGCAAAAAAAAAAAACCUUUCAAAUCUCAUAAAUGAACAGAUCCACACAUCUAGUCAAAUCUCCUAAUUUUACAAAGAAACCAAGGUCCUUUCAGGUUGGGUGAUUUGUCCAAGGUCAUAAGCAGCUCUUGAUAAGCAGAACAAUCUAAGUUAUUUAAUUAAGUUCACACCACUCCCAAUUUUCUGUAAGUUCUAGGGGGUUUCCACCCACCAAAAGUGUGUGUUUACUGGCAGUUUCCCUCAAUACAUACCAUAUUCAACUGAAACAUUUUCAUCCAAAUGUUACCAACUCAAAAUUAAUUUCUUUGCCAUCCGUUUAAUAGCCAAAAGCUAUUUCUGGGGCAGAAAAGAUAAGAUUUUCUAAAGUAAAGUUCAUGAUAUGCAACCUAACAGAUAACUUUCUGAUGACUAAAUGAUGACCAUGACAUCAAACUUAAGGCCUAUGUGAUAAUUUGGAAUGACAAUGGCACCUGUAGCAUAUGGCACCCCUGAAAAAGGCAAAAAAAAAAAAUCCAUGACCACAAACUGAAGACAAUACAUAUAAACAAAUGUGCUAAAUUAGUAAUAAAUUAUUGUACUAAAUUAAUAUUAACUUCUCCAUCAGAAUUUUAAGUACUAAAAAACUUUCUCCAAUUCAUUCAGUUAGCUUCUAUAUUCCAUACAAAGUAUGCUUUUUAUGCCUUUUUUUUUUUUUUUUUUUUAAGGGCCGGACCCACGGCGUAUGGAGGGGUGCGGCCCUAGAAAAGGCAAAAAAACAAAAAGUAAAAUAAAUAAAAUAAAAACUACUACCAAAUAAAUAUAUUUUCACACACACAUAUGAACAGAAUAGCUAUCAUAUCAGAACAUAGUUAAAGUAGUAAUAGCAGCAUUAAUAAUGAUGCUGACGAAGUAAUAAUAAUAAAACGAACUACCUCUUUUUGAGCAUUUACCAUUGCUAGGCAUGGUCUAUAUACUAUACAUUCUCUGGCUCAUUUAGUCUUCAUGAAAAUCUUAUGAGGUAGUCAUUACACUAUUUCAAUUUCAAAAAUGAGGAAACAGGUCAGAGAUUAAGCAACUUUCCCAAGAUCACACAGCUAGUUAGUGUCAAAAGUAAGAUUUGAACAUUUGAGCAUUUUACCCCUGGAGAUUAUAUUUUUAACCAAUGCAAUCUCCGUGUAAUUAAAUAAUUUGUAAACUGCUAAAAUAAUCAAAGGGCACUUCCUCAAAUUCAUUUUUAAGACAAAAGUGGUUUGGAGACCAAAAAAAAAAAAAAAAGGCUUGUCUUGCCUUUUAUUAGGAAUAUGUUCAACCAAGCUAAGACUGAACAUAUUUAUGGAUAACAAAUUUUAAAUGCAUUUGCUUCACUUUUAUCACUUUGAAAUCCCUCACUGAAUUGUUUGAACAAUACAAACGUUGGUAACAGCUUGUUACUUCAACAAAAACCUAAUAAAACUUUAUUUUAAAAUCUUUUGAUAAAAAAAUACACUGCCCAUUUUAAGUAAACUUGGGUAAAAUAGCUGCAAGAAUUCCAAUACCCUUGAAAAGUUUCAAAACAGCAGCAAGAAGUAGCGGAACAAGAUAUUCCUUUUGUGACAAAGAAAAACUCUGUUCUUUCCACAACACUGUAACACCUGCUCUAACAACAAACAUUAACAGGGGAUAGACUGAACUUCAACUGUAUUUCAAAACCUGCGCCUAAAUUCAGAAAUUCUUCACUGACCAUCUAAAAAGGCUAUCAGUUUAUCUCCCAGAAGAGCCAUCUGAUCCACAUAGUACGCAUCACUUUGGAAAGCUAAAAGUGUACUCCCUACUAUCCCAGUGAGUAACAAAAAGCACUCAACCCCCAAGAGCUUCUGAGGCACAAGCUGGCUUUUUUUUUUUUUUAAUCAUCUACUAGAACCUCAGAACUUGCCUUCCCAGGAAACAAAGAUAGCCAGGUUUCCAACCUGGUCCACUGAAGCUUAAACACUCAUAAGUUAUUUUAUUAUAACUCAUAAGUUAUUUUAUUAUACAGAAGUAUAAUAAAAUACCGAACCUGCAUGGGCAAUAUUUCUUUGGGAAAACCCAUUUAGCAUUCGACUUAGAAUAAAAGCAACUAUCCCUGCUCCACUCUGCUUUGGAAGUAAAAAAAGAAUUCUUCACUCCCCUAACUGGGAGUCUGAGCUCCCCUAGGACCACAGGCCUAGGCUUCCAUGAUCAAAGCCCAGCAGGAGGAAAGGAAUGAAAGAGGAUGGUGGGCAGCAUAUUAGGCUUCAAACAAAAAGGCAGAGCUGCAGUGGAGGGAGAUCAAGGGAUGAAGAAGGCAAGAAAGGAUGAAGGAUGGGAGGGCAGCUAAAAGGAGCAAGGAAAAAGUGUGGGGGUUGGGGAGGGCUGCAGAAGAAGAUAAGGGAACCAUGGCUGCUCCUGCAGCAGAUGGAGUCUCUUACAAACCUUCCGCCUCAAUGCUCAGGAGAGAGGAGGAAAAGAAAGAGAAACAACUGCCUCCCUCACUCUGACUACUUUGCAAGGAAAAUCGAAGUGGGUUAGAGGGUCUUGUCUAGGUCCCUCUUGAGCUCCUAGAGCACUUAGAGGAAUUUCGGUUGCCUUCCUUGUUGUCAUUCACUCUGUCAAAGAAUUCAGUGUCAACUAAGAACUAAGGGACGGCUCCAGGUACCAGUAGAACAGUGUCAGAAAGAGAGGACGGAAAGGUGAGACAUUUGAAGCAGGAGGGAAGUGGAAUGUUGGGGGGUCAAAUUAAUACAAUUGUUAAUGAAUUAAACUACAGUAAAUGUUCUUAAACAUUUAGGAUUUACUCCUUUUG